ACUGCAAUUACAGGGUCAUAUGUUUGAUUUUAAAAGAAACUGCCAAACUGUCUUCUAAACUGAUGGUACCACUGUGUAUUCCUACAAGCAAU
rnacentral:pre_miRNA from 1 species